GGACUAUUGGUGCAGCUCAGAGAAAAAAAACACUCCAACCCUAGAGAUAAAGUAUGUUCUAGACAUUGAGAUGACUCAGCUGAAGCUAAAAAAAAAAAAAAAAAAAAAAAACUUGCCACGGAGGCUGAACUGGCUGCAGAAAAUUCUAGAUUCAAUGUUUUAAUGAAAUCUGAAUCACUGCAGGGAAAGAGAAGGAAAAGCACAAGGCCAGAAACUAGCAAUGCAUGUGCAUCCACCACUGAAAUGUCCAUUGAAUACAAAGCCAUUGCAAUUCAAGAGGCAUGAAUGAGACAAAGGGCAAACAAAAGGGAGUAUAAUCCAUUAACACAGGGGUAGCCAACUCAAAUUCUGCCAGGGCAACAUCAGCAGUUUUUGUGGUACCCUGAAGGGCUAUAAUCAAAGUUCAUAAUUGUUUUGCUGUUGUUCUUGUUAUAAAUUAUUAGGAUAGCAGUAGGAUGUUUCUUGGAAAAAGAAGGGCUAACAGAAAUUAAUGAAGUAUUUGCACUAGAACUGUAGGUAAUACCAUUUAAUAUACUGAUUAUAAUAUACGUUUUUUAAAUGUGUUUAGUCACAUUUUGUCUACUACCAGCUGUUGUGAUGAGAAACAUGAUUAGCCUAUUGGGAUGAAAGCUACUCGGUAACUAUACUAUAAGCACAGAGAUAUGGAGGUGGGAGCCUGCAAAACAAAAGGAGAUCAGGUUUAUAAAUUAAGCAGCUUGUCAGUUGACCAGCACUGCAAGAGAUUGUUAACAACGUAGAACUUUCACCAUCCCCUCCAUUACCCUCUGAAAAGGCAUGAUGGACAGCUGUCAGGAGAGGAGAGUGAGCUGAAUAGGGAGAGAAAAAGGGGUGAUGGACAGAAGAAAAGGGUGGAAUAAAAUGGUGCAAAUGUGGUACAAAUGUAAAUGAGAAUGUAAA